ensembl:lncRNA
CCCCUCAGCGUGUUAAGGUGUCCUCAUAUCAGGCCCUGCUCGUCUCUCUCCCCCCCCCCCCCCCUCAGCGUGUUAAGGUGUCCUCAUAUCAGGCCCUGCUCGUCUCUCUCCCCCUCCCCCUCAGCGUGUUAAGGUGUCCUCAUAUCAGGCCCUGCUCGUCUCUCUCCCCCCUCCCCCUCAGCGUGUUAAGGUGUCCUCAUAUCAGGCCCUGCUCGUCUCUCUCCCCCUCCCCCCUCAGCGUGUUAAGGUGUCCUCAUAUCAGGCCCUGCUCGUCUCUCUCCCCCCACCAUCCUCCCAUUGAAUCAAACGGCUACACGUGUGUGUGUGUGUGUGUGUGUGGGCAUUUGUGUGUGCGUGUACAUGUUAGCGCUUGUGUGCGUGUCUGUGUGUGUGUGUGUGUGUGUUAAUGUGUGUGUACAUGUGUUAAGUGUGUGUGUGUGUGUGUGUUACAGUGUGUGUGUGUGUUACAGUGUGUGUGUGUGUGUGUGUGUGUUACAGUGUGUGUGUGUGUGUGUUACAGUGUGUGUGUGUGUGUGUGUGUGUGUGUUACAGUGUGUGUGUGUGUGUGUUGUGUGUUGUGUGUGUGUGUUACAGUGUGUGUUACAGUGUGUGUGUUGUGUGUUGUGUGUGUUACAGUGUGUGUGUGUGUGUGUGUGUUACAGUGUGUGUGUGUUACAGUGUGUGUGUUACAGUGUGUGUUACAGUGAGGCUGUGUGUGUGUGUGUGUGUGUGUGUUACAGUGUGUGUGUG